GAGAGAUACAAGUGGAUUCGGAGUGUGGAAUACAACCUCUGUUGUUGAUUGGCAAGCUGGACGUUCUAAUGCAACAUGGAACCAAAAUUUUCACUUCGCUACGCCUGUUCAAGCUUUGGAGCUACUGUCCAGAAAAAGUGCAAACGGAAAUGUUGACGGAGGAAAUUCUAGUAGUUUCAGUUAUACUUCAGAAGUCCAAACUGCUCAACAGGAUUCUAGUUUUGUUCAGUCUUCUGGUGGUGCUGCUCAAGGUAAACCUGUACUAAAUGCUCAAGGUCAAGCAACUCCCAUGGUUCAACCGCAGGACAACUUGAUGACUCAGUCCUCAAGGCUCUAUUGGUUUGAAUCUCUCAAGCCUGAAAACUGUGGCACUUUGCUCUCUCAAUCUUGGCCUCAAAAAGGUCAGAAUAACGGUGGAUUCCAAAGACCAUCCAGGUUCCAGUUUGGAGGCACUGCAAACCAGACAUCUGGAUCCCAGACCCAGUCGUCAUACCAGCCUAGCACCACAACACAGGUUCAGACAGGCGAGUCUAUUGCCCAGCCUGAGUCGUUCGGAGCUUCAGCUUCAUAUCCAAGUCAAACCUCUGGCAUGUACUCUGUUGUACAGGGUCCUCUGAUUGCAUCCUCUUCCCAAAUGCCUGGGUUCCACAUCCAGUCAUCAUACCAGCCUGGCACCACAACACAGGUUCAGACAGGCCAGUCUGCUUCUACAUCUCGGGCUCAGUCCUCUGGUGCAUCAACAUUGUAUCCAGGGAUUAGGAGGAAUGUGACUUCUCUGGGUCAUGGCUUUCCAUACUCAACCCAGUCUGUGGUGACCGCAAACCAGACAUCUGGAUCCCAGACCCAGUCAUCAUACCAGCCUAGCACUACAACACUGCUUCAGACAGGCCAGCCUGUUCUUCCUCAGAGUCAGCCUUCGGGAGCUUCUGCUCCAUAUCCAAGUCAAACCUCUGGAGUGUACAAUAUUGCACAGCGUCCAUUGACUGCAACCCUUUCCGAAAUACCUGGGUUCCACAUCCAGUCAUCAUACCAGCCUGGCACUACAACACUGCUUCAGACAGGCCAGUCUGCGUCUACAUCUCAGGCUCAGUCCUCUGGAGCAUCAACGUUGUAUCAAGGGAUUAGCUCUGGCAGGUAUCUGACGUCACUGGGUCAUAUAAUUCCUUCCUCCUCCCAGUCUGUGGUCACUACAAACCAGACAUCUGGAUCCCAGACCCAGUCAUCAUACCAGCCUGGCACCACAACACUGCUUCAGACAGCCCAGUCUGCUCCUACAUCUCAGGCUCAGUCCUCUGGUGCAUCAACAUUGUAUCAAGGAAUUAGGAGGAAUGUGACUUCUCUGGGUCAUGGCUUUCCAUACUCAACCCAGUCUGUGGUGACUGCAAACCAGACAUCUGGAGCCCAGACCCAGUCAUCAUACCAGCCUGGCACCACAACACUGCUUCAGACAGGCCAGUCUGCGUCUACAUCUCAGGCUCAGUCCUCUGGCGCAUCAACAUUGUAUCAAGGAAUUAGGAGGAAUGUGACUUCUCUGGGUCAUGGCUUUCCAUACUCAACCCAGUCUGUGGUGACUGCAAACCAGACAUCUGGAUCCCAGACCCAGUCAUCAUACCAGCCUGGCACCACAACACUGCUUCAGACAGGCCAGUCUGCUUCUACAUCUCAGGCUCUUGGCAGCCAUGGAGCUGCACCUUCAGGACAUGCUAAAUGGUACACCAUUGUACAAGGUCAGACAAUUCCAUCUUCUCAAGCCUCUGGAUCCCAGACCCCGUCAUCAUACCAGCCUAGCACUACAACACUGCUUCAGACAGGCCUGUCUGCUUCUACAUCUCAGGCUCAGUCCUCUGGUGCCUCAACAUUCUAUCAAGGGAUUAGCUCUGGCAGGUAUCUGACUUCACUGGGUCAGAGCAUUCCAUCCUCCUCCCACUCUGUGGUCACUACAAACAAAAUCUCUGGAUUGCAGGACCAGUCAUUUCAGCCUGACACCACAACAAAUGCUUUGGUGGGUCAGUCUGCUUCUACAUCUUUGGCUCACGGCAACAUUCAGGCUCCAAAUUGGCAUACGAUAACUCCUCCUAGAUUCCAUAAUUUGCUACGGAACUUGUCGGUUUCUCAAUCUCUGAGCUCUGAUCCCCAAACAAGAACAAUCAACAAUAUUUUGCCGUUUCUGAACCAAAGUGCUGGGACUUCUGCCAUGUCUCAGAAUAAUGUACAGACCCCAGCAUUUCACACAUCUACACACUUCUCACCUGUCCCACAAACUGUUGCCACUCCCCCAGUCUCUCUACCCAAGCCUUGCCGACAGACACAAUGCUCAAUGGUGGAGAGUGCAAUUGCCUCUAUAGCAUCCAGCCAAACCUCUCCUCGUGUUGCCACAUCAUCUCAAGGCACAGGCUCUUUUGCUGCUGUACCCAUUCCAGGUACCUCACAGAAUUUUGCAGGCAUUGAUUUCCAGGGUACAUUGCCAGUACAUGACCAGUACAGCUCGGUGUGUAACUUUCCAUUUGGUUUCUGCAAUUCUCCUCAAGGAGCUGCAAACAACAAAUUUGUUCGAAGCCAGAGUGUACAGACACACAACCUGUGAACCAAGAAUUCAUGGGACACUUUCUGGAAUCAGUGCCUCAUCAGCAUUCUGUGUUCCACAAAGCUUUUCCAAUACACCUGAAAUUGUGAGCUCAGCCACUUACAGCUCCCCCCCAUUUCCCAACACCAGGCCCUCCUGACAAUCUCAACUGUAAGAUUAACUACUGAGUGCUUUGAUCGCUGACUGAAUAUGCUCAUUUGUGG
ensembl:lncRNA